rnacentral:rRNA from 1 species
GACGAACCGUGCGAACGUUAUUCGGAAUCACUGGGCUUAAAGGGCGCGUAGGCGGGUCAUCAAGUCCGGGGUGAAAGCCCACGGCCCAACCGUGGAAGUGCCUUGGAUACUGAAGACCUCGAGGGGGAUAGGGGCGUGCGGAACUCAGGGUGGAGCGGUGAAAUGCGUAGAUAUCCUGAGGAACACCGGUGGCGAAAGCGGCGCGCUGGAUCCCUUCUGACGCUGAGGUGCGAAAGCGUGGGGAGCAAACAGG